ACCACUUCUUUAAAUAUUAUAUAAUAUUUCUAUGGGAAGCUUUGUAAGUGCAUUUUUUUGUGCUUGAAUGACUUUAACGUUAGAAAAUUUAAACGUUGGGAAAGGGUUAACAGAAAAACACUUAAAAAACACAAUACGUUUACACUUACACUUUCUCUUGCUACGCUGGCUUAAAACAACAAAACUAAUAGCUUUCUCCUUACCUUGUCCAUUUAGUUGGGCAAAAGUGAAUGUGAAAGAAAUUCUACGCCGCUAAACCACCCGUUUCCAAAACAAAAGGAUCUGGCUGCGACCGCUGUCAACUCCCAACUACCGCUGACUGCAUCCCGGAGAUCGGGGCGGGGCUAAAUGUGGGCGGAGUCAAACGUUUAGAGGUGGGUGGAGACAACUAUUUGACUCCUGCGUCCUGCCCCUCUCUCAAUGGAACCAGGAAACCGCUGUGUGUGUGCAAUGCUGUAGCCGGGACAGAGGGAAGUAGCUGCCAAAAUCAAGGUCUGAGGAAGACAGGGUGCAGGCACGAAAAAGACGGAGAGAGGAAAGAGUAAAACAGGGCCUGGAAGUGGAAGUGGUCCCUCCUAAGAAGUCCUGCCAUACUGAAUUAGUCUGUGCAGCAUCAGGUAUUGUUCAAACAAGUAUUAUUGUACACAACCCCCUAGGUUGUCGAAAUGGCAUGUGGGAAG